rnacentral:rRNA from 3 species
UUUAAUUGAAGAGUUUGAUCAUGGCUCAGAUUGAACGCUGGCGGCAGGCCUAACACAUGCAAGUCGAGCGGCAG